rnacentral:rRNA from 1 species
UACAGAGGGUGCGAGCGUUGUUCGGAAUUAUUGGGCGUAAAGGGCGCGUAGGCGGUGCGGUAAGUCAUCUGUGAAAUCUCCUGGCUCAACUGGGAGCUUGCAGGCGAAACUGCCGUGCUGGAGUGUGGGAGAGGUGCGUGGAAUUCCUGGUGUAGCGGUGAAAUGCGUAGAUAUCAGGAGGAACACCUGUGGCGAAAGCGGCGCACUGGGCCACAACUGACGCUGAGGCGCGAAAGCUAGGGGAGCAAACAGG